AGAGUAGAUAGUAACUUAUGGCAUAUAUGUUGCUAAUGGUGGAUGAGGUCAUUUCAAGAGCUGGAAUUGGGAAGAAGGAUAAAUACAUACAUGGAGGAGCAAUAGAAGUCUACCUUAUGGAGCAUGUGGAAAUAUCAGGUGGCUUCUUCAAAUGAUUUUUAAGUAUCUCGAUGAUGAUGAAGAACAAAGACAUCAAUCAGGAUUCAGGAAGACAGCUUUUGCGGAAAAUGCUUAAAGGGAAGCAUCAAGGAUUGGUGUUGAUAUUUGAAAGUUUAAGAGUGGUAUACUUUUAUUCAGUCAACACAUGACAAAUGUAAAAGGCACUCAUUUGUUGUUCCUGGAAGAAGCCUGGCAGCAUUCCAUUCAGACAUCUGCCCUUUCAUCGUCCCACUUUUUACUUAUUGCAGUCCUUUCAGUCUGAAUAUUUCCUCCUGACGCAUCUUCUGCCGUCCGAAAUGACUCCCUGCUCCCAGAUCCUGUAGCCCUUAUUAUUGACACCUUUCAUUUAGAAAUUUAGCACAUGUCACAUUACACCAUUAUUGAAUAAAUAAUGAAUAAAUAAAUAAAUAAAGAUGUAUGUCCUUCCCAAGUAUAUCAGAGAACUAUCUGGACAAUUUCUUUCUUUCCCAAUUCUCAGAAUCAGCAGUAUUCUGUCAAGAAACAUUUAUCGACGAUGAUGGCAAUAGUCGAUUAAAAUCAGAUGAAGUUUUAUUUUUAAAAAAAGGUUGAGCGGAGAGACAAGGCUGAAGGUUUGGAAGUUGAGACAACCAUCUUCAAUAAACGUUUUCUCAUCUAAGGGCUGUAUGUACAUCAUUUUGGGGAAGGUAGAGAUUGAAGGAGGAAGAACA
rnacentral:lncRNA from 1 species